rnacentral:rRNA from 1 species
CCUACGGGUGGCAGCAGUGAGGAAUAUUGGUCAAUGGCCGGAAGGCUGAACCAGCCAUGCCGCGUGAAGGUCAGUGCCCUAUGGGCGUUAAACUUCUUUUGUGCGGGAGCAAUAAUGGUCACGUGUGGCCAGACGAGAGUACCGUACGAAUAAGCAUCGGCUAACUCCGUGCCAGCAGCCGCGGUAAUACGUAGGGAGCAAGCGUUAUCCGGAUUUAUUGGGUGUAAAGGGUGCGUAGACGGAGAAGCAAGUUAGUUGUGAAAUCCCUCGGCUUAACUGAGGAACUGCAACUAAAACUACUUCCCUUGAGUACUGGAGAGGAAAGUGGAAUUCCUAGUGUAGCGGUGAAAUGCGUAGAUAUUAGGAGGAACACCAGUGGCGAAGGCGACUUUCUGGACAGUAACUGACGUUGAGGCACGAAAGUGUGGGGAGCAAACAGGAUUAGAUACCCCAGUAGUC